UGCCAGAGGGCGGAGCAUCCACGUCGACGCUCAUCGGCCACGCUCCCCGCCGGAUGGCGGCGCGCCCUCUUGGCUGGGUCGCCCCUUGUGCAUACUCUCGCUCUUACACGCGCACUCCCUUCAGUCCGCCAGCCGCGCCGCCACCUCCGCCCAGCCCCGGGGAACUCCGGUGGCACCAUGUCUUCGCCUCCUAAGGGAAACUAGAGACUAAAGCUGGACACUCGCCCUCAGGUACUGACUCUUUUCCGCUUACUUUCUGGG
rnacentral:lncRNA from 1 species